UGGGGAAUAUUGCACAAUGGGGGAAACCCUGAUGCAGCGACGCCGCGUGAGUGAAGAAGUAUUUCGGUAUGUAAAGCUCUAUCAGCAGGGAAGAUAAUGACAGUACCUGACUAAGAAGCCCCGGCUAACUACGUGCCAGCAGCCGCGGUAAUACGUAGGGGGCAAGCGUUAUCCGGAUUUACUGGGUGUAAAGGGAGCGUAGACGGAAUGGCAAGUCUGAAGUGAAAUACCCGGGCUCAACCUGGGAACUGCUCUGGAAACUGUUGUUCUAGAGUGUUGGAGAGGUAAGUGGAAUUCCUGGUGUAGCGGUGAAAUGCGUAGAUAUCAGGAAGAACACCGGAGGCGAAGGCGGCUUACUGGACAAUAACUGACGUUGAGGCUCGAAAGCGUGGGGAUCAAACAGGAUUAGAUACCCUGGUAGUCCACGCUGUAAACGAUGAAUACUAGGUGUCGGGGUGCAAAGCAUCUCGGUGCCGUCGCUAACGCAAUAAGUAUUCCACCUGGGGAGUACGUUCGCAAGAAUG
rnacentral:rRNA from 1 species